UACGGAGGGAGCUAGCGUUGUUCGGAAUUAUUGGGCGUAAAGGGCGCGUAGGCGGUUUCGCAUGUCCGAUGUGAAAGCCCACCUCUUAAAGGUGGAAUUGCAUCGGAAACUGCGAGACUAGAGUGCCGGAGAGGGUGGUGGAAUUCCUGGUGUAGAGGUGAAAUUCGUAGAUAUCAGGAGGAACACCGGUGGCGAAGGCGGCCACCUGGACGGUUACUGACGCUGAGGCGCGAAAGCGUGGGGAGCAAACAGG
rnacentral:rRNA from 1 species